rnacentral:rRNA from 1 species
GACGAACGCUGGCGGCGUGCUUAACACAUGCAAGUCGAACGAAGUGGCGAACGGGUGAGUAACGCGUAAUCAACCUGCCCUUCAGAGGGGGACAACAGUUGGAAACGACUGCUAAUCCCGCAUACUGAUGGGCGGGAAGGUGGGUGAUUUGCUAGUUGGAGGGGUAACGGCCCACCAAGGCGAUGAUCAGUAGCCGGUCUGAGAGGAUGAACGGGCACAUUGGGACUGAGACCAGGCCCAACGUCCUACGGGAGGGCAGAGUGGGGAAUCUUCCGCAAUUGACGGAAGUCUGACGGAGCAACGCCGGAUUAGUUAUGGCGGGCUUCGGGUUGUAAAGCUCUGUUAAUCGGGAAGCGGUCCCGGACUAGAAAGCCACGGGUAACUACGUGCCAGCAGCCGCGGUAAUAC